AGGUCACCCAAAGGCAGAGGAAAAUAUUUACUUUACUAUUUAGAGUAGUUUUCCUUUCUUUAAACAAACUCUCCCUCAAUUCCAUAGCAAAAACUCUCCUCGACACUUCUGGUUUGUGUGGAUUUAUUAGUGAUUUUCCCAGGAAGACACAGCAUCACACAAAGGCACCGACUCUUUUCACCAGAUUAAAUAUAAAAACCCUCAGAACUUCCAUGCCUAAGAAUUUGAGAGUUGAGAGUGUGGGGAGAAAGAAAUGCACCUGCAGAGCAGAAGCUGAAGAGAAUUGCUUUCAACUGAAUCAUUUUGGAUGGCAUCAAACAAAAAGUGGAGAGUAUGACGCAUAUGGAAUUAUCACAAGCCAGCAUCCUUUAGAAGGAAAAAGAAAUACAGCACAUAAUGGAAGGAAAUCUCAUAGAGAUGAACAGAGAAUGAAAGAACUGUUUCUAGAGAUCUGCAACCAAAGUGCCUUUGGCCACUUUGUUCUUCUAAAU